CCCUUCAGCCUUGCCCUUGCCUUGCCCCCGCCCUGGCCCAUGCUCGGCACCCCCACCCCCCUUUGCCCAUUGGUAACGAGGGACCGCGGCGGUGGCUCUCGGAGAAGAAGCACGACAAGGAAGUGGCUUGCUCCAAGCAAGCACCUCGCAGACUCAAGCCUCCGCCGCACUCUCCUGCACAUCCGGUUGACUCCCGACUGUGGUUAUCCGCUGCACCGCCCACUUAACAGCUCCUCCUUAUCCACUCAACCGACCUCCUGGACUGCUGCCCACAACCACCAGCAGCAGCAGCAUCGUCAUCAUGUCUGCUGUCACUGCCUGUGGCCGGGGCUCCCACGGGUCUGCCCUGACCGCUGCCCGCACCCUCACCGUGCACACGGGCAACGUGGUGAACCGGGGCGCGCUCAGGAACAAGUACGGCUCUUCCCCCAGCGAGGAGUUGGUGGACUGUGUGAGGAGCACGUUAUCCGACUGGGCUUCAAAGCUCGACGGGGGAGAGUCGCCUUCGUGCCUGGCCCAGGACGUGUGCGUAUGCCCGGGCACGGAGAAGAUCAGUGCGGAGGAUCGUGACGAUUUGAAAAUAACCGCCAAGAUAUUUUUGCUGGGAGGCGAUGCGCAAGUCAUUAAGCCGGCCGUGGAGAAAGUUCCUGAAGAAGCUCCCAGCACGCACGCGUGCAUGGCUCUGGGCGUGUCGCUGCUGGACGCCGUCGUCCUGGCGCCGCCGCCACUGCCCGAGGAGGAGAAGCUGACGGCGGACCGGCUGUCCCCCUACUGGGCCGAGCUGGAGAGCCUCAUCGCAGCACACAAGGUGGCGACCAUCGGCACCUCCGACCUGGACAGCCAACUUCUGGAGGAGCUCUACCACUGGGCACAGGUGAAGCCCGCGAGCAACCAGGUGAACCUGGCCUCCUGCUGCGUCAUGCCGCCCGAGCUGACGGCCUUCGCCAAGGAGUACGACAUCCAGCUGCUGACGCACAACGACCCCACAGAAAUUCUACCGACAAAGUCUUUCCAGGACAUGGUGGCUACUGUGGCGCCUGAACAGGCAGAGGUGUGGACGCCUCUAUGGGUCCUGCGCUACUCGGUCAUAAUCAAGUGUCGCGGGGUCCUCAAGUCCAAGGGUUAUUUCCUGCAGGCACGGAGGGACGCCUGAGUGAGGAGCAGUGAAACCGCAACUCCAACUCCGGCAAGCUUCGCCAAAACGGCGCCAGCAAACCUUGCCGUAACCAUUCGCUGUUUGGGGUCAUUGCGUACGAAGAUUUACGAAAAAAUAAAAACAUGCAUAAAAUGUUCCCCAUGCCUGCUUUAGCUGCUGCUGUCACCAGCCCUCUACAAUGAACGAUCACUGCUGGAUAAAUUAAUAAAAUGAGUUUCUCAUUAUUUUAAACUAUACAAAUAUUUUUUUAAAAUCUUCUUCCCAUUAUUUACACUUUUUUCUACCAAAUAACUUUGUAUUGCAUUUUUAACUGCACCCUUUGCUGCCCUCCUGUGAUUAAAUCAUUGUUAUUUAAUCAUGUGAGAUUCCAGUGCAAGUCAUUCUUUAUUGUCAUCAGUAACCGGAAUGGAUUUUUGUUAGCAAUAUAUAUUUCACAGAUAAUUUUCGGGCUUUGGUAUGUGGUUGGGGGGCUGCGACACCUGCGCCAAAUUAUAUAUCUUUUCGUGAAAGCUAUCACAAGAUCUUAAAAAAGACACUUCGCAAACGGAUGGAAUCGCUUUGGCAAUUGGUGCUCGGUAGCGUUAUUGAGCGGCAGUUGGAACCCAACAAUAAACGCUGUAAUACUGUGACAGUGCAUUGGUCGCUAUUGGAUUUAGCCAUCUGCCCCUUAACUUUUAAGCAGUGGACUGGCUGCAACAUGAAGGAUGCCACAUGUUUCAGCUGGGCCAGCCACCUGCUACACGUGCAGCCUAUUUGUUAAUCCACUGCUGGAUCAAGGUUUCCCCACACCGUGCGCUUCCGCGGGGGUUAUUUUACCGUACUUCACCAUUCUGGUCAGUGCGGGUUUGUGAAGGUGGGGAGCACUGCGUGUUUUGUGCAUGGUGGUCAACCAACCAAACACUAUCCAUGAUCAAAAACCCCGCUUAGCAUUUGAGAUCUGACACGAUCGAGAGCAUUGCCAUUGGUUUGGUCACAGGUGCCAAUCCAUCGGUUACACGACCUUAACCGCAAGAGCACACGCAUCGCUCUUUGCUGUUGUGAAACCACGUGCAUCUUCGUUCGCGAUAGAUCCGUGCCUAUUAUUUGGAAAGGUAUGAGAGGCGUACACAUUUUUUCGGAAAGUGACACGCCGCGGUGGCAAUGGCAUGCCUUUAAUCCAGCGCUGGAGGCAGUGCUUGGUAAUUGCACAAAUGCUGUGAAACUCGAGUGUCGAGAUGCCAUCGCCUGGCUUGCCAAGAGAAGGCUGUACAGCAUAUGAGGACUCCACUUGUUCCGUUUAACACGUAGUCUCUCGCGACCAGAUCGCGUGAAUAUACAUUUGUCGUAAAAUCCGCCACCGCCUAAUAGCCAGUUAGUAAGGUUUGUCACGUAAACAUAACAUGCCAAUUAGUUAUUCGUUCUGCACACCGAUGUGUUUGAGAGUAAACCCACAACAUUUACGACGUUUCGCUGAUGAUUACAACCAGCAUCAUCAGGCGAUAGCAGGACUAACGACAAUAUUGUUCUCGACUGAAAUCUCUGGUUUCCAGCAUUCGUGGAGAGGUCUUGCUCGGUUCGCUUCAUAGCACGUACCCUUUCCCACUGGCGCAUCCGAGCCAAGCUAGCAUGGGAUCCACAUGGUUAUGGUGAAAAAAAUUUCCACUGGAUAUUUGCUAUGCUGAGCCGGAACCAAACCCUCAUAACCUGGCCUCGCAUGACAUCACGAUCGGCUACCCGAGUUUAGAUCCCGGUCAUGACAAACAUCAGUGGCGAUUGACAUCAGAACGGGUCCGAGGUGGCCCCCUUCAUCAACCUGGGUGGUGAGGUAUGGUCGCUCGCGUUCCAUGCCCGGCCACGGCGUGCCGAGACCUUCAUCCAGCAGUGGAUUGAUAGAGGACUGUCAAUUCAAAUGUAAGCGAGUGAGAGCCGUAUUGGGACCCGUUCUUUCGAAAUUAAGUUUAACCCAUGGACUGUAUCAAAUGGAUAAGGCUUUAACACGGAUAUCUUGGUAUGGACUUUAAUUCAUGAAGAUUCUAUUGCUGUACGCCUUUUGUCGUCCUCUGGUCUAACACCGUUUGAGACGAGGCUCAAAAGAAAGCUGUCUCUGGUGUGGACCAAUCAGUUUCAAAGACAAUGCAUAUAUUAUCAGUGUUUUUUGUUUGCAUUUUCACCACAAGUAUUAUGGUUAAUGCAGACACGAUAAAAGGGGAAAAGCUUAUCAUGCAAUUGCAUUCUUGAAAUGCUCAUAUCACAUACUUUGGAGUAGAAUAAAAUUUACCCGAGUUCAAACUAUUCAUAUGUGUGCUGUAUAUAUACUGUAUAGCCCAUUGUUCGUUGGAACAUAAAUGCAUUGUAAUUGAUCCAGCAGUGGACAGAGACUGUCCGAAUUAGACCAUUCAAAUGCACACGCACAGUCCUCUCAUUUAACAUUGUAUGUUUGCAUAUUAUAUACUUGUUAUUGUGUCACAAGAAUAUAGUCUUUUGUCAAUCCACUGCUGGAUGAGUGCCCUCCCCACGCUGCGCUGGUCAUGGGGGUUAUGUAGCCAUACAUCGCCACGCCGGUCCAGUGCCGGUUGGUUGAAAGGCAAACGUCCAUAUAGGCCAGCAGAUAUGCGUGACAGCUGAUCGACAGGAGCGCAUUGCAUUGCCGCAAUGGUGUGUGAUGGCCAGGGAUGCGCGUGCAGAAUGACGUGCGGCAGUUAAUCAAUAAAUCAACGAUGCAAUUAACGGCCGGCCAAUCACAAUGGCACAAUCUCCGCAAAGAUCCCUCCGCCAGUGUCAUCAGGCUGCGGUACUGCGGCAAAAAAACAUAGUGCCCCCUUGCGCCCAGCAGAAGCAGCCAUCUGUACACGUGAUAAAACUAAUAAUGGUUCCGUGGCGCAUUUACACCUCUUGGUUCUUACAAACCGCAGUCUCAUUGCUUGCUUCACAUUGACCGUAAUACCAGGGUCGUUAAUCAAUUCAUUCACAGUCAGUAAAUCCACUGCUGGAUGAAGGACUCUCCACCCAAGUGUCGCUGGUCAGGGAGAUGGUGGUAUUUGACCAUACUUCACCACGCUGGUCAGUGCGGGUUGGUGAACGGAGGGUGGUGGUGGUGGUCAGGUCCGGUUCAGAUAUCACUCGUCACCGAUGUAAGCCGUGGCCGGGAUUCGAACUCAGAUCUACCGGGUUCACGUCUUGAUGCGUUAACCGCAGCGCCACCUCUCUCUGCACGUUGGUGUUCAGGGAGAGAGUCACAGGAAUACCUGAGCGUUGGGCAACGUGCCGAGCAGCUUGCUGUCGCUGCAUUCGCUGUGAACACCCCCGGGGCAAUGUGAAGUGUGAAGUGAGAUCACGGCAGGUGGAGGUGGCCAGCAAUUAGUUAUCUGCGCAACCGGCACACGUAUCGAUCUAUCGAUCGGUUGGUUGGUUCGUCGAUUGCUUAAUUGCGAUGGGGUGUGCUCUCGAUGUGGAUGACUCGGUCACAGCAAGUGGAGAAGGAGGUGCCUGCGUUUGGCCAGGGCGAUGGAUCGGUCUCGGCGUGGGCCGGCAGGUGGCGCACGUGGUUCGCGAUGGCGUCUCGACUGUCGUUAUUGACGGCGGGUUUCGGGAUCGAAGCGGCGAGAACGAGUGGAAGAGUUGAAGUUUGGUCACAGAGCGCACUGUCUUCCUCUGCAUAUCGCCGCCGUUUCUCCACACACCGUCUUGAGAUGCGGUCGCCCUUUAUAAAUACUACAUCGAAAUUGCGCCGCAUCUCUUUACUCGGCCAUCAGUCAUUACUCUGUGCUUCGGUCAGACAAUAAAGUAUUUCUGGGCAUCACA